rnacentral:tRNA from 1 species
UAGUUGGUUGCUCGGUGGGGGUAAUGAUUCCAACUUAUGGACUUAGGGGGUUCAAAUCCCUACCAAUUCG